GAUGAACGCUGGCGGCGUGCCUAAUACAUGCAAGUCGAGCGAACAGAUGAGGAGCUUGCUCCUCUGACGUUAGCGGCGGACGGGUGAGUAACACGUGGAUAACCUACCUAUAAGACUGGGAUAACUUCGGGAAACCGGAGCUAAUACCGGAUAAUAUAUUGAACCGCAUGGUUCAAUAGUGAAAGACGGUUUUGCUGUCACUUAUAGAUGGAUCCGCGCCGCAUUAGCUAGUUGGUAAGGUAACGGCUUACCAAGGCAACGAUGCGUAGCCGACCUGAGCGGGUGAUCGGCCACACUGGAACGGAGACACGGUCCAGACUCCUACGGGAGGCAGCAGUAGGGAAUCUUCCGGAAUGGGCGAAAGCCUGACGGAGCAACGCCGCGUGGGUGAUGAAGGUCUUCGGAGCGUAAAACUCUGUUAUUAGGGAAGAACAAAUGUGUAAGUAACUAUGCACGUCUUGGCGGUACCUAAUCAGAAAGCCACGGCUAACUACGUG
rnacentral:rRNA from 1 species